rnacentral:rRNA from 1 species
UACAGAGGGGGCGAGCGUUAUUCGGAAUUAUUGGGCGUAAAGGGCGCGUAGGCGGCUUUUCAAGUGACGGGUGAAAUCCCUCGGCUUGACCGAGGAACUGCCUGUCAGACUGGAAGGCUUGAGACCGGGAGAGGUGAGUGGAAUUCCCAGUGUAGCGGUGAAAUGCGUAGAUAUUGGGAGGAACACCAGUGGCGAAGGCGGCUCACUGGACCGGAACUGACGCUGAGGCGCGAAAGCGUGGGGAGCAAACAGG